rnacentral:rRNA from 1 species
ACAGUGGCCGCGAGCAUCUGUGGCCAAGUUUUUAAGGGCGCACGGUGGAUGCCUUGGCACCAGGAACCGAUGAAGGACGUGGGAGGCCGCGAUAGGCCCCGGGGAGCUGUCAACCGAGCUUUGAUCCGGGGGGUGUCCGAAUGGGGAAACCCGGCAGCCGUCAUGGGCUGUCACCCGUACCUGAACUCAUAGGGUAUGUGGAGGGAACGCGGGGAAGUGAAACAUCUCAGUACCCGCAGGAAGAGAAAACAACCGUGAUUCCGGGAGUAGUGGUGAGCGAAACCGGAUGAGGCCAAACCAGUCACGUGUGAUACCCGGCAGGGGUUGCGUGGUUGGGGUUGUGGGAGUUCUCUUGAUCGGUCUGCCGGCCGGUCGGUGAGUCAGAAACCGUUGAUGUAGGCGAAGGACAUGCGAAAGGUCCGGCGUAGAGGGUAAGACCCCCGUAGCUGAAACAUUAGCGGCUCGCUUGAGAACCACCCAAGUAGCACGGGGCCCGUGAAAUCCCGUGUGAAUCUGGCGGGACCACCCGUUAAGCCUAAAUAUUCCCUGGUGACCGAUAGCGGAUAGUACCGUGAGGGAAUGGUGAAAAGUACCGCGGGAGCGGAGUGAAAUAGUACCUGAAACCGUGUGCCUACAAGCCGUGGGAGCGUCGC